rnacentral:snoRNA from 1 species
GUGUCCUAAUUGGGCUUCUAUAGCUACACAUCGCUGGAAAUGAAGUAACUAUGGUUUUGCUUUGCUUAUGGGUCUAUUUCUUAGGCCUGCAAGAAGGCACAAGACAGCA